rnacentral:rRNA from 1 species
CUCACCAGGUCAGGACACGGUAAGGAUUGACGGACUGAAGGCUCUUUCUCGAUUCCGUGGAAAGUGGUGCAUGGCCGUUUUUGGUUGGUGGAUCGAUCCGUCUGGUUAAUUCCGUUAACGAACGAGACCUCGGCACUCCGAAUAGCGCGGCGGACGUCGCGGCCUCCGGGCCGUCUUCCGCACGAGCUUCUUAGAGGGACCGUCCCCCCGCCGGGGAAGGAGGUGCGAGGCAACGACAGGUCUGUGAUGCCCUUAGAUGUUCUGGGCCGCACGCGCAUUACACUGACGCGUCCAACGGGUGACUCCCGACCCGAAGGGGCCGGGGAAUCCGCAAGGCGCGUCGUGAUGGGGAUUGAACGUUGCAAUUGUUGUUCACGAACGAGGAAUUCCUAGUAGGCGCGGGUCAUCAACCCGCGCCGAUUACGUCCCUGCCCUUUUGUACACACCGC